AAUUGAUUUCAUUUCCCUGUUUUUCUCCAGUGUGAAAUUUCCUUUGGAUAUCAUCUAAUCUCAUAUCUUCACCACAGUCUGAAUUACACUUUUUCCACUCUGGAGCUGCUGGCCAAAUUGCAUAUGGGUCAUUUUCAACUCUCACAUGCUCUCUUUAUUAUGAAAUGAUGGGGGGCGAUCACAAUGAGGAAGCUUCACAUGUGGACACGAGUGGGAAAGUUGACUGGAAGUCUGGGAGUUGCAGACGCCCCCAUCUGGUAGAAAGACAGAAAGCAAC
ensembl:lncRNA